AAGAUGGCGGCAAGGUAAACAAACGCGACGAGCACUGCAACGAAGGGAUUUUUGUCGAUUAAUGCAAGAUAUCACCAGCCAUAUUAUGUGUAUGGGUAGUUUAACGGGAUAAUGUUCAUGAGAAUAGGCUUUGAGUCUGUAUGAGGAUGAAUCAGAGUUUGCCGUAAGCAUAAAUGACCAUCAGAGAGAUUUUUCAACAACCAUACAGAAGUUACACCAGAGAGAAAAACAGAACUCUGUGGAUAACUUGAUACAUUCACGAUGGAACGUCCUUGAUCUUGGAAGUGUCCAAGUUGCAGGCAGAUGGAGACAGAAAAGAGGUUUUCUCACCAUUGGUAUUCCGUCUGUCAAACGAGCACGGGGGGCCGAGUACCUGUUGCAGACUAUACGAUAUAUUAUCAGCAGGACAACACUAAAAGAAAAAGAGAGCAUUGUUCUUCUGGUGUUUUUGGCUAAUUUUGAUACAGACUAUAAUGCCGCUGUUUUGAAAAACAUCAGCGCCAGAUAUGGUGACUACAUGAACAGUGGAUUUCUAUUAGUUAUGCAAGUUCCAGAGAAAUAUUACCCACCAUUAACAAAUUUAAAAAGGAAUUAUAAUGAUCCGCCAAAUCAGGUUGCAUGGAGAUCAAAGCAAAAUGUGGACUAUGCGUUCAUGUUUUUCUAUGGAAGAAAUAUUUCAGAAUACUACAUUCAAAUAGAGGACGAUGUUAUGCCAGCGUUUGGAUUUGUGAAAGACAUACGUGCCUUUAUUCUGAAAAAUUACAAAAACCCAUGGGUUUGUUUAGAAUUUUCUCUUCUCGGAUUCAUAGGAAAGCUUUUCAAGUCGGGUGUCCUAGAUAAACUUGCAAGAUAUUUGAUCUUAUUUUAUGACGAGCAACCAUGUGAUUGGCUAAUUAAUUAUUUUCUAAGUUCAGUGACUCAAACAAGGCAUAUUUAUAACAGGAAGUCACUUUUUCAGCAUAAAGGAAUUUGGUCUUCUUCCAGUGAAAAAUCCAAGCAGGGACCUUUCAAGGCUUACGAUAUAUAUUUUAGAGAGGGAAAGUUAAACAAUGAGUAAGAGUGGCUGAAACAUGGGUAUUCACAGCACAUAAUCAAAAAUGCCCAACAUUGAAGAAUGUGACAAUCAGCUUAGCCAAUGAAGAUCAUUCUCCAAGACAACUAAGUUACAUAAGUUCAGCAAUUAAUAAGAGUGGCUGAAACAAGGGUAUUCACAGCACAUAAUCAAAAAUGCCCAACACGGAAGAAUGUGACAAUCAGCUUAGCCAAUGAAAAUCAUUCGCCAAGACAACUAAGUUACAUAUAUGAUUAAGGGACCAUUCCCACAGAUAUUUGGCUUGGUCUAACUCCCUGGGGAGUUUCACUAAAAUGCUAUCAACUUGGCCAGCUCAAAUACCUGUUACACCAAGUAAAGCUGUUAGGGGGUAAUUACCUUACCCCCUAGCUGAUUCGGUAGGCGUGACAGACAUUUUAGCCGGUUAA